CUGCUUAGGACGGGGAGUCCAGCAUACAGGACGCUAUGGGUCCUUGUAACGGUACACUAUCCCCACAAAAUUCGAGAUGACAAAGACAAGAGCUCAACGGUCGAGGGUCACUGGAUCGGCGAGGCGCUCUUCCCGCUGGGAAGAGGCCUCCCCUCCACCCUCCAUGGCGGAGCCCAGCUCUCCGCAUCCCGCAGUGACCGCGGAGGCACAGAUCGCGGCAA
rnacentral:lncRNA from 1 species